CGCAGCCGCGGUAAUUCCAGCUCCAAUAGCGUAUAUUAAAGUUGUUGCAGUUAAAAAGCUCGUAGUUGAAUUUCGGGAUUAGUACGCUGGUCAUGCCUUUGGUAUGUACUGGUGUUACUGGUUCCUACCUUCUGAAGAACCGUCAUGUCAUUAAUUUGGUGUGGCGGGGAAUCAGGACUGUUACUUUGAAAAAAUUAGAGUGUUUAAAGCAGGCUCGCGCUUGAAUACAUUAGCAUGGAAUAAUGAAAUAGGACGUUUGACCCUAUUUUGUUGGUUUCUAGGAUCGACGUAAUGAUUAAUAGGGAUAGUUGGGGGCAUUAGUAUUCAAUUGUCAGAGGUGAAAUUCUUGGAUUUAUUGAAGACUAACUACUGCGAAAGCAUUUGCCAAGGAUGUUUUCCAUUAAUCUAAGAACGAAAGUUAGGGGGAUCGAAGACGAUCAGAUACCGUCGUAGUCUUAACCAUAAACUAUGCCGACUAGGGAUCGGAUGAUGUUAUUUUUUAAUGUACUCAUUCGGCGAC
rnacentral:rRNA from 1 species